rnacentral:rRNA from 1 species
UACAGGGGGUGCAAACGUUGCUCGGAAUCAUUGGGCGUAAAUCGCACGUAGGCGGUUCGUUAUGUCGGAUGUGAAGGCCCUUGGCUUAACCGAGGAAGUGCAUCCGAAACUGGCGAGCUAGAGUACGAAAGAGGAUCGCGGAAUUCCCGGUGUAGAGGUGAAAUGCGCAGAUAUCAGGAGGAACACCGGUGGCGAAGGCGGGACUCUGGGCCGAUACUGACGCUGAGGAGCGAAAGCGUGGGGAGCAAACAGG